rnacentral:rRNA from 1 species
GACGAACGCUGGCGGCGUGCUUAACACAUGCAAGUCGAACGGAAAGGCCCUGCUUUUGUGGGGUGCUCGAGUGCCGAACGGGUGAGUAACACGUGAGUAACCUCCCCUUGACUUUGGGAUAACUUCAGGAAACUGGGGCUAAUACCGGAUAGGAGCUCCUGCUGCAUGGUGGGGGUUGGAAAGUUUCGGCGGUUGGGGAUGGACUCGCGGCUUAUCAGCUUGUUGGUGGGGUAGUGGCUUACCAAGGCUUUGACGGGUAGCCGGCCUGAGAGGGUGACCGGCCACAUUGGGACUGAGAUACGGCCCAGACUCCUACGGGAGGCAGCAGUGGGGAAUAUUGCACAAUGGGCGGAAGCCUGAUGCAGCAACGCCGCGUGCGGGAUGACGGCCUUCGGGUUGUAAACCGCUUUCGCCUGUGACGAAGCGUGAGUGACGGUAAUGGGUAAAGAAGCACCGGCUAACUACGUG